GUGGGGAAUAUUGGACAAUGGGCGAAAGCCUGAUCCAGCCAUGCCGCGUGAGUGAUGAAGGCCUUAGGGUUGUAAAGCUCUUUUGUCCGGGAAGAUAAUGACUGUACCGGAAGAAUAAGCCCCGGCUAACUUCGUGCCAGCAGCCGCGGUAAUACGAAGGGGGCUAGCGUUGCUCGGAAUCACUGGGCGUAAAGGGCGCGUAGGCGGACUUUUAAGUCGGAGGUGAAAGCCCAGGGCUCAACCCUGGAAUUGCCUUCGAUACUGGGAGUCUUGAGUUCGGAGGAGGUUGGUGGAACUGCGAGUGUAGAGGUGAAAUUCGUAGAUAUUCGCAAGAACACCGGUGGCGAAGGCGGCCAACUGGUCCGAAACUGACGCUGAGGCGCGAAAGCGUGGGGAGCAAACAGGAUUAGAUACCCCAGUAGUCC
rnacentral:rRNA from 1 species